GACGAACGCUGGCGGCGUGCCUAAUACAUGCAAGUCGAGCGGAAUGAUGAAGAAGCUUGCUUCUUCUGAUUUUAGCGGCGGACGGGUGAGUAACACGUGGGCAACCUACCUUGUAGAUUGGGAUAACUCCGGGAAACCGGGGCUAAUACCGAAUAAUCCAUUUUGCUUCAUGGCGAGAUGUUGAAAGGCGGCUUCGGCUGUCACUACGAGAUGGGCCCGCGGCGUAUUAGCUAGUUGGUAGGGUAAUGGCCUACCAAGGCGACGAUACGUAGCCGACCUGAGAGGGUGAUCGGCCACACUGGGACUGAGACACGGCCCAGACUCCUACGGGAGGCAGCAGUAGGGAAUCUUCCACAAUGGACGAAAGUCUGAUGGAGCAACGCCGCGUGAGUGAAGAAGGUUUUCGGAUCGUAAAACUCUGUUGUAAGGGAAGAACACGUACGAGAGUAACUGCUCGUACCUUGACGGUACCUUAUUAGAAAGCCACGGCUAACUACGUGCCAGCAGCCGCCGUAAUAC
rnacentral:rRNA from 1 species